AAAAAAUUCUCAGAAAACCUGUAUUUGCCCUGAUUUCAAUCCCUUUGAUUCAGGGUAAUCAAUUUCAUACGUUACACUAGAACCGCAAUUUUCCCCUUGAAUGAUUCCCUGCAUAAUCCCCAACAAAGGUUAUCAUCUUCACCGGAUUCUUCAUUUCUUUCUUACGCCUACUCCGAUAUAUUUGACUACUCGGUCAGCUUAGGAACCCGCAUCUCUUAUAUUUGAUGUCUGUUUCUUGAUGCACCUUUAUGGGAGUUUCUUAGAUUGUUUAAUUGCAGAUUUAUCAAGACGUCUAAUCCCAGCAUUAAUUGGAUUCUCUCUAUAAAAUGUCUAAUCCAAUUCCAGACAGCGUCCCUUCUACCUGUUAAUUCAUUAGCUAUCAAAAGAACAGAUGAAUUGCAAACCCCAGAAGGCAGCAUCCUUACCGGAUGAAAAGAAUCCUUUCUACUUUUUUCUAUACAGGAGAACAUUUUGAUCAUCAUAAGAAAGGAAUGGAUAGAGAGAAUCUCAUGAUAAUGGUUAUAUAUGGCAGUGUGGCACGAAGCACAGGUGAGCUGCUAGGGAUGUUACCUGGGCCUGCUAUAUACGUGUAUUGUGCGGCUGGAAUUCGAGGAAUCUGCACAUGUUGGAAUUUGCAAGUGAUGACAGUAGUAUCCAGUUAGACGUUCAAACUGUGUUAACUUGAAGCGCAAAGAAUCCAUGAAAUUGGGGUCGGUUGCCGUAGCCAGUAGCGAUGGACGAACUUAAAAUUUUCAGUAUCAAACAGGAUGAAACGUCAAUAAUCCCAGUUCAGGGUUCCAUGAUUUGGGAAUUUGUCGUGGCUUAUCUAUUGUACAGAAGUAAAAGGUGGCAUAUGAUCUGGAUUCAGGUGAGGAAUUUAUGCGGGUGUUGGAUUAGGAAUUUGUCUCUUUGCUCCACAAAACUGCUUUUCAGAGCAUUGGAAAACUUCAUGGAAGCAAGACAAGUUUCAUCCUACAUUUAAAGCACUGGUACAAAUGUAGAUGCAAGCAUUAGAAGGAAACAAAUGAUGAAUCUAUGUCAACGUACUAAUUAUGUAUUUCAGUGAAUAUUUUGUAAAUGACGAAUAAACAGUAAUUCCAUUUUAGAGUGAAUAUUUUUGUAAAAUGUAAUUCAACUUUGGCAGAUGGAUCCGUCUGGAGUUUAAUGCAGUUGUUAUUACCUUCUCAGUUUUCGACAAAACUGUAUUAG